UGCAUUAGUACUGAUGACUGGUAAUGGC
rnacentral:piRNA from 1 species